UACCCUCACGGUUAGGAAAACUAGUUGGUUAACAAGAAGUUGCUACACGAAGAUAAACUCUAUCAAGAUUAGGAGAAGUAGCAAACGUUCUGGUCAGGAGUCGAAAAGUUGGCAAUAAGAAAAGUAGGCAGACCUCGUAAUUGAAAAGGGGUGGGAGAGUGGAAGAAAAAGAAGUUCUUCAAUCUCUACUAGUUCAGUACACAAGAAAAGAAGUGCAAUUGGGAGAAGUAGGAAAAAGUAAGUUGAGACGGAUGGAAUUUUUAUUAUAAACAGACGGAUAAAAAACUGUGGUUUAGUUAUACGAGCUGCAAUGAGUGCCCGUUAAAGAAAAGGAGAAAAAGAAGAUCUAGCUUAAUACAAGCAAAGUCUAAAGCUUCCUAGCCUUUCGUUGUUCGUCCGCCAGGUUAGGUUCGCCGGCUGCUUCUCCUCUCCCCCGAUCGGCCGAUCGCACACCUGCCCACCCCGAGAGCCGAGCGGUGCGGCGGGGGUACGGCGGCGGGGCAGCGCGGCGCCCGCUGUGCUCGCGGAAGAAGCACCGCUGCGACCACGGUACCCGGCACAGCCACCCCAAGCUCUAGCCGCGGGCCCCGGCGGCGCUCGACCACCGGGCACCGGCGGCCGACGCGGAAGAAGGUCCGGCGGUUGUGGCGGCGGCAGAGGGCGCUGGGCGAGAAGCAGUUGUGACGGCAGAGCGAGGAGGUGAGGAGGGNNNNNNNNNNNNGUCAAUAGAAACAAGAGAACACGGUUCCCACAUGGUUCCCGGAACUCUUGUACAAAGUCGUACUUCUUAAUCAACUAUCGUCAACCUAACGUCGUUUAAGACGAUUCACGAAAAGUACACCGAUGAAACGAAUACUGGUUAACCUAUGCGAGGCGAUGGCCGAUAUGUCACCUACCUAAGGACCUUAAGAUUACGAAGUGGAAAAAGACGAGUAAACGAAAUGCGACCGAGACAUAGCCUUACUCUGUUAGUUGAUGGACUAAGAGUGAGAAGACACGCUCGAUUUACCUCUUUCCUUAUAGGCUGCUUCUCCUCUCCUCCCCGAUCGGCCGAACGCACACCUGUCCACGCCGGGAGCCGAGCGGUACUGCCUUCUGCCCUACGGCGGGGCAGUGCGGCCGCACCCACUGUGCUCGUGGAAGAAGCGACACUGUGAUCACGACACCCGGUACAGCCACCCCAAAAUCUAACCGCACACCCCGGUAGCACUCGACCGCCGGCACCGGCGGCCGAAGCGGAAGAAGGUCCGGCGGUUGUGCCGGCAGGCGGCGAGAAGCAGUUGUGGCGAAGGGCGAGGAGGUGAGGGGGGAGUGAAGCCGGAGUCAAUAGAAACAAGACAACACGGUUACCGCAUGUUCCCGGUACUCUUGUACAAAGUUGUACUUCUUAAUCAACCAUCGUCAACCUAACCUCGUAUAAGACGAGACACGAAAAGCACACCGGUGCAACGAAUACCGGUUAACCUAUACGAGGCGAUGGCUGAUAUGUCACCUACCUAAGGACCUUAAGACGACGUAGUGGAAUAAGACGAGUAAACGAAAUGCGAUCGAGACGUAGCCUUACACUGUUAGUUGAUGAAUUAAAAGUGAGAAGAUACGCUCUGGUGCAUGCUCUUAGAGGCAGUCCACCAUCCGGAUUGAAGAUACUAGUUCCUACAGACUCAUUGAAAGAUCUUCAGAAGACGUGGUUCCAUGUCCGAAGGUUCGUGUUCAAGGUCUGUAUGUAUGUUCUCCUUCACUCUCGAGGUGAUCGGUUGGCACAGCCCCUCCAUCUUCUACUUGGUCGACCACGAGCGGUACGUUUUCACCUUCUACUGGCCUAUGACCACAACUAGAAUGCUUCUAGAGUAAGAGUGCAGCUAUACUAAUACUUCUGUAACUAUAACUUUGCCCCCCGUCACCGUCGCUACUCUACCUUCCCUGUCGGCUACCUACCCUGUCGGAAGCAAAGAUCUGUAUGUCGCUUAUGUCUACCUGUCCAAGGCCAUCAAUUCUCUUCACCAUACUGUGAUCUCAGCCCCGGCUUCUGUGAUCAUACUGUGAACUCAGUCCCGGCUUCUUGACGCUUUAACGUAUAGAGUAACAAUCCGUAUUCUUCACACAGUCGAAAUUUUGUGCGUGACGGUAGAGCAUCUCUUCGAGAGUCAUCAGUCACGUACUAGUCUAUCUACGGCCACUAUAAAAAAACACCUAUCGAUUCGACUACUCGACUAAUUAAGUCUGGUUUAGACCUCUCCGUACUUGUUUUACGGAAAGUACGAAGAACUUGACUUGACGAAGGUAGUCACGAAAGGUGGUAAAACACAGGCGUCAAGAAAAAAUUACUUAACCACGCCGUGGGAUGGAGCAGACCUAAAAAACCCACGAUAAAACAAAGCCUAUCUACGAUGGUUAUACCUAUCGAUUCGACUACUGUCCUUGACUUACGACGAAGGUACCCACAAAAGGUGGUUAAACAAGUACCCACAGAGUAAACCCAAAGAAAAACGAUCAGAAUACUACUACAAACAUACUAAGUAAAACACUGAGCUACUACACCUUAUGAAUACUACGCUGGACAUUAAGGG
rnacentral:rRNA from 1 species